AGUGAACGCUGGCGGUAGGCCUAACACAUGCAAGUCGAACGGCAGCACAGUAAGAGCUUGCUCUUACGGGUGGCGAGUGGCGGACGGGUGAGGAAUACAUCGGAAUCUACUUUUUCGUGGGGGAUAACGUAGGGAAACUUACGCUAAUACCGCAUACGACCUACGGGUGAAAGCAGGGGAUCUUCUGACCUUGCGCGAUUGAAUGAGCCGAUGUCGGAUUAGCUAGUUGGCGGGGGAAAGGCCCACCAAGGCGACGAUCCGUAGCUGGUCUGAGAGGAUGGUCACCGGCACUGGAACGUGGACGCGGUCCAUGCUCCUGCGGGAGGGAGCAGAGUGGAAUAUUGGACAAUGGGGGCAAGCCUUGCACAGCCAUACCGAGUGGGAGGCGGAGGCCUUGGGGUUGUAAAGCCGUUUUGUUGGGAAUGAAAAGCAGCCGGUUGAUACCCCGCGGUUCUGACGGUACCCAGAGAAUAAGCACCGGCUAACUUCGUG
rnacentral:rRNA from 1 species